AUGACGGUGACACAGCUGCUGUGUUUGGCCAGCGUUGGGCGACGGUGUUGUGAAGGUCAUCGCAGCAACGGGCAACCAGCCAACUCAAGAGGCCAACCCACCGCUUCCACUCACGUGCGUCUUGCUUCCGAGGCCCACAGUGCACCCUGUUGUUUGUUUCGCAGACAAACGUGGCGUUGUAGAAGAGGAUUGGGAACUCAACCCCAAGCCGUCCCAUCUCUUGAAAAUACCGUUAGAGGAAAAGCCACUGCCAAAUCCAGUCAAACCUGUUUUUUGUGCCAUUGAUAUGGCAGCUGUAGGUGAAUGAGGGCCACCUGAGGGCCACCGAAACACCCACAUGCACCCAUUCUGAGCCCCCACUGCGAAUUGUGACUCUGCUUAAGGUCGGAGCAAUCCUAGCCAUUGAUGUGAUUGAUACAUUCCUUUCUUAUUGAGAAGAAAUGAGAAAAAUAGCCAAACUCUUUCUCUUUUUUGAAUAGAGCACCAAUAACACAAAGAGCAUUCUUUUGCAGCAUAAAUUAUGUAUAUUUUAAUUAAUUAAUUUAUUUUAAAAAAUAUUUAUUUAUUCAUGGGAGACAGAGGGAGACGUGGGACUCGAUCCCGGGACUCCAGGAUCACGCCCUGGGCUGAAGGCGGGCGCUAAACCGCUGAGCCACCCAGGGAUCCCCUAUAUUUUAAUUUAUAAUGUACUUUUUUUCCAAUACAACUUUAAGGUGGUUGAGUCAGUUUUAAGUUUUGUUGUUUGGUUUUACUUUCGUCAAGUUUUGUUUCCUACAUUUUGUAAAUCUCUAAACGUUUCCAGUAGGAAAAAUAUGUAGAUUCAUCUUUAUGUUAUAACUUACCCAAAGUGUUGGAUUUAACUUGAAAUCUUUUCAGCUCCUAAAUCACCAUUUUAUGAUUUAAGUUCUCAGCACAGCAUAUUAAGCCUUUGGUGAGUUAAAUAACAACUUCAAAUGAGAAAUCAUAUUUUUUAACAUAAAUUUCACAGAUUAGGCUAACGUUCUGGGUUUGUUUCAACAUCCCCCUGUGAUAAUUUCCCACCACUCACUAAAGAUUCCAAACCGUGAACCGUGGCUUUCAUAGUUCUGCGUGAUAUGGUCCAAAUUUACUUCUAACUUCACCUCCUUUCCGUGCCUCUGGGGCCUGCUCUUCUCCAGCCCCUGUGGAUUCCUCGCUUCUCUUCGAACAGACUCAUGCGCUCCUAUCGCAUCAGGACAGGCUGGGUUAUUCUGCAGUAAUGUAUUAACUCCAAAAUAAAAAACUCUUAAAACCAAAGGUUUUGUCUUGUUGGGUCUACCUUUUUUAUUAAAGGGUAUACAGGUGAGAAAACGCUCAAUACCUUGACCACCGUUAAUUAUUGCUCUGAAAGGAGAAAAGAAGAAACGUACGUUUUCCAGCUGACAAGUAAAUGCUUCAAUCCAGAAGUGACACACAUUAUUUCUUUCCACGAUUUGUUGGACAGAAUUUGCCGUAAGACCCAUCACAACACAAAAGGGCCAGAAACUACAUUCCAUGUGCCUGGAAGGGAGGAAAAGAAGAAAUAUUAAGCAAAAAUAAAAAACAUGAAUUAUUACUUCAGGCAUUUUUUUAAACUUGUUUUUAAAACUGAUGGGGAUGCUCUUCCCUCAGGAAAUCAGAUGACACAUUCUCUUUCUUCCAAUUUUGCCAAAAUCCUUAGAAAGUUCAUCCCUAAUAACCCCAUCUAAAACAACUUUCCCUCAUUACUCUCUCCCUACCUGCUUUAUUGUUAUCC
rnacentral:lncRNA from 1 species